GACGAACGCUGGCGGCGUGCUUAACACAUGCAAGUCGAACGGGAUUUAGUAGACAGAAGCUUCGGUGGAAGAUUACUAAUGAGAGUGGCGAACGGGUGAGUAACGCGUGAGCAACCUGCCUAUGACAGUGGGAUAGCCUCGGGAAACCGGGAUUAAUACCGCAUAAAAUCGUAGAAACACAUGUUUCAACGGUCAAAGAUUUAUCGGUCGUAGAUGGGCUCGCGUCUGAUUAGCUAGUUGGUGAGAUAACAGCCCACCAAGGCGACGAUCAGUAGCCGGUCUGAGAGGAUGAACGGCCACAUUGGAACUGAGACACGGUCCAAACUCCUACGGGAGGCAGCAGUGGGGAAUAUUGCACAAUGGGGGAAACCCUGAUGCAGCGACGCCGCGUGAACGAAGAAGGUAUUCGUAUCGUAAAGUUCUGUCCUAUGGGAAGAUAAUGACAGUACCAUAGAAGAAAGCUCCGGCUAAAUACGU
rnacentral:rRNA from 1 species